GAGACAGCAGUCGCCGCGGUAAAACGUAGGGUGCAAGCGUUAAUCGGAAUUACUGGGCGUAAAGCGUGCGCAGGCGGUUAUAUAAGUCAGAUGUGAAAUCCCCGGGCUCAACCUGGGAACUGCAUUUGAGACUGUAUGGCUAGAGUGUGUCAGAGGGGGGUAGAAUUCCACGUGUAGCAGUGAAAUGCGUAGAUAUGUGGAGGAAUACCGAUGGCGAAGGCAGCCCCCUGGGAUAACACUGACGCUCAUGCACGAAAGCGUGGGGAGCAAACAGGAUUAGAUACCCGGGUAGUCCCUGUCUCUUAUAC
rnacentral:rRNA from 1 species